GGGAUUUAACACAGUUGUUGUUUGUUUAAUUUUCAUAAAACUUUGAUCUGGCUAGUUGGCCCGGCAAGUGCUUUACUGUGGCUUAAGAAACAGAAUGCAUACCUAGAUUAAUUUACGCAGUCGCCAACCCACCCCAGCGAUGACCAAUACUUUUAUCACAUAGUUUCCACUAAUAAUAGGUUUUCUGAAUUUUGGUUGAACAAGCAUGCAUGUGAUGUUU
rnacentral:misc_RNA from 1 species